UUAUAGGAUGAACCCUGAUAGGGACAACUUAUGCUACGGCAUUUGAUGAGAACCAGGGACUGUAUUUUAGUAGAUGCUUGUCUUUUCUGAUA
rfam:Mycosphaerella graminicola IPO323 chromosome 4, whole genome shotgun sequence.